CCAGACUCCUACGGGAGGCAGCAGUGGGGAAUAUUGCUCAAUGGGGGAAACCCUGAAGCAGCAACGCCGCGUGAGGGAAGAAGGCUUUCGGGUUGUAAACCCCUUUUGGUAGAGAAGAAAAUGACGGUAUCUAACGAAUAAGCACCGGCUAACUACGUGCCAGCAGCCGCGGUAAUACGGAGGGCGCGAGCGUUAAUCGGAAUUACUGGGCGUAAAGCGCGCGUAGGCGGUAUGUCAAGUCAAGGGUGAAAUCCCCGCGCUUAACGUGGGAACUGCCUUUGAAACUGGCGGGCUGGAGUGUGGGAGAGGCAAGUGGAAUUCCUGGUGUAGCGGUGAAAUGCGUAGAUAUCAGGAGGAACACCAGUGGCGAAGGCGGCUUUCUGGCACAUAACUGACGCUGAGGCGCGAAAGCGUGGGUAGCAAACAGGAUUAGAUACCCCUGUAC
rnacentral:rRNA from 1 species